UACGAAGGGGGCUAGCGUUGCUCGGAAUCACUGGGCGUAAAGGGUGCGUAGGCGGGUCUUUAAGUCAGGGGUGAAAUCCUGGAGCUCAACUCCAGAACUGCCUUUGAUACUGCUUUGCUAGAGUACUGGAGAGGAGAUUGGAAUUUACGGUGUAGCAGUGAAAUGGCGUAGAUAUCGUAAGGAAGACCAGUGGCGAAGGCGAAUCUCUGGACAGUUACUGACGCUGAGGCACGAAGGCCAGGGGAGCAAACGGG
rnacentral:rRNA from 1 species